rnacentral:rRNA from 1 species
UCUGGUUGAUCUGCCAGUAGUUAUAUGCUUGUCUCAAAGAUUAAGCCAUGCAUGUCUAAGUACACACGAAUUAAAAGUGAAACCGCAAAGGCUCAUUAUAUCAGUUAUGGUUCCUUAGAUCGUUAACAGUUACUUGGAUAACUGUGGUAAUUCUAGAGCUAAUACAUGCAAUUAAAACAUGAACCUUAUGGGACAUGUGCUUUUAUUAGGCUAAACCAAGCGAUCGCAAGAUCGUUAUAUUGGUUGAACUCUAGAUAAAUGCAGAUCGUAUGGUCUUGUACCGACGACAGAUCUUUCAAAUGUCUGCCCUAUCAACUUUUGAUGUAGUAUCUAGGACUACCAUGGUUGCAACGGGUAACGGGGUCAGGGUUCGAUUCGCGGAGAGGAGCCUGAGAACGGCUACCACAUCUAAGGAAGGCAGCAGGCGCGUAAAUUACCCACUCCAGCUCGGGGAGGUAGUGACGAAAAAUAACAAUAAGGACUCAUAUCCGAGGCCCUGUAAUUGGAAUGAGUACACUUUAAAUCCUUUAACAAGGACCAAUUGGAGGGCAAGUCUGGUGCCAGCAGCCGCGGUAAUUCCAGCUCCAAUAGCGUAUAUUAAAGUUGUUGCGGUUAAAACGUUCGUAGUUGAACUUGUGCUUCAUACGGGUAGUACAACUUACAAUUGUGGUUAGUACUAUACCUUUAUGUAUGUAAGCGUAUUACGGUGGAGUUCUUAUAUGUGAUUAAAUACUUGUAUUUUUUCAUAUGUUCCUCCUAUUUAAAAACCUGCAUUAGUGCUCUUAAACGAGUGUUAUUGUGGGCCGGUACUAUUACUUUGACAAAUUAGAGUGCUUAAAGCAGGCUUCAAAUGCCUGAAUAUUCUGUGCAUGGGAUAAUGAAAUAAGACCUCUGUUCUGCUUUCAUUGGUUUUCAGAUCAAGAGGUAAUGAUUAAUAGAAGCAGUUUGGGGGCAUUAGUAUUACGACGCGAGAGGUGAAAUUCUUGGACCGUCGUAAGACUAACUUAAGCGAAAGCAUUUGCCAAGAUGUUUUCAUUAAUCAAGAACGAAAGUUAGAGGUUCGAAGGCGAUCAGAUACCGCCCUAGUUCUAACCAUAAACGAUGCCAGCUAGCAAUUGGGUGUAGCUACUUUUAUGGCUCUCUCAGUCGCUUCCCGGGAAACCAAAGCUUUUGGGCUCGGGGAAGUAUGGUUGCAAAGCUGAAACUUAAAGGAAUUGACGGAAGGGCACCACCAGGAGUGGAGCCUGCGGCUUAAUUUACUCAACACGGGAAAACUUACCAGGUCCGAACAUAAGUGUGUAAGACAGAUUGAUAGCUCUUUUCGAAUCUAUGGGUGGUGUGCAUGGCCGUUCUUAGUUCGUGAGUGAUUUGUCUGGUUAAUUCCGAUAACGAACGAGACUCAAAUAUAUUAAAUAGAUAUCUUCAGGAUUAUGGUGCUGAAGCUUAUGUACCUUCAUUCAUGUUGGCAGUAAAAUGCUUAUUGUGUUUGAAUGUGUUUAUGUAAGUGGAGCCGUACCUGUUGGUUUGUCCCUUAUAAGGACCUAGCUUCUUAAAUGGACAAAUUGCGUCUAGCAAUAAUGAGAUUGAAGCAAUAACAGGUCUGUGAUGCCUUAGAUGUCCUGGGCUGCACGCGCGCUAAUGAAAGAUCAACGUGUAUUUCCUAGACGAGAGGUCCGGGUAAACCGCUGAACCACUUUCAUGCUUGGGAUUGUGAACUGAAACUGUUCACAUGAACUUGGAAUUCCCAGUAAGUGUGAGUCAUUAACUCGCAUUGAUUACGUCCGCUGCCUUUGUACACACCGCCCGUCGCUACUACGAUUGAAUUAUUUAGUGAGGUCUCCGGACGUGAUCACUGUGACGCCUUGCGUGUUACGGUUGUGUUCGCAAAAGUUGACCGAACUUGAUUAUUUAGAGGAAGUAAAAGUCGUAACAAGGUUUCCGUAGGUGAACCUGCGGAAG